UGAGUACGAGAUGCUACGGCAUUGAAGCAGUCUAUGUCAUACUUCCAAGAAAAGCUUGCACUGUCAUAAACAAAGAAUGCCUGUACCAUAACCGACACAGGUGGGUAGGUAGAGUAUACUAAGGGGCGCGAGAUAACUCUCUCUAAGGAACUCGGCAAAAUGACUCCGUAACUUCGGGAGAAGGAGUGCCUUAUUUUUAAGGUUGCAAUAACAAGAUCCAAGCAACUGUUUAUCAAAAACACAGGUCUCCGCUAAGUCGUAAGACGAUGUAUGGGGGCUGACGCCUGCCCAGUGCCAGAAGGUUAAAGAAGUUGGUUAGCAUUCGCGAAGCUGAUAACUGAAGCCCUGGUGAACGGCGGCCGUAACAAUAACGGUCCUAAGGUAGCGGAAUUCCUUGUCGGGUAAGUUCCGACCCGCACGAAAGGCGUAAUGAUUUGGAUACUGUCUCGGAGAGGGACUCGGUGAAAUAGACUUGUCUGUGAAGAUGCGGACUACCUGCACCUGGACAGAAAGACCCUAUGAAGCUUUACUGUAACUUGAAAUUGAAAUUGGACUUUAGUUGCGCAGGAUAGGUGGGAGGCGUUGAGAAUAUUCUUGCGGGAGUAUUGGAGCCAUCAGUGAGAUACCACUCUUCUAAUGUUAGAUUUCUAACUUUGUAUCAUUAUCUGGUCAAAGAACAGUUUCAGGCGGGCAGUUUGACUGGGGCGGUCGCCUCCUAAAGGGUAACGGAGGCGCACAAAGGUUUCCUCUGAACGAGUAGAAAUCGUAUCUAGAGUGUAAAGGCAUAAGGAAGCUUGACUGUGAGACCUACAAGUCGAGCAGGGACGAAAGUCGGUCUUAGUGAUCUGACGGUGCUGAGUGGAAAGGCCGUCACUCAACGGAUAAAAGUUACUCUAGGAUAACAGGCUGAUCUCCCCCAAGAGUUCACAUCGACGGGGAGGUUUGGCACCUCGAUGUCGGCUCAUCGCAUCCUGGGGCGGUAGUACGUCCCAAGGGUUGGGCUGUUCGCCCAUGAAAGCGGUACGCGAGCUGGGUUCAGAACGUCGUGAGACAGUUCGGUCCAUAUCCGGUGUAGGCGUUAGAAUAUUGAGAGGAGCCUUCUCUAGUACGAGAGGACCGAGAAGGACAUACCUCUAGUGUACCAGUUAUCGUGCCAACGGUAAACGCUGGGUAGCUAUGUAUGGAGUGGAUAACCGCUGAAAGCAUCUAUGUGGGAAGCCCACCUCAAGAUAAGUA
rnacentral:rRNA from 1 species